GUCCUGGCCGUAAACGUUGGGCACUAGGUGUGGGAGGUAUCGACCCCUUCCGUGCCGUAGCUAACGCAUUAAGUGCCUCACCUGGGGAGUACGACCGCAAGGUUGAAACUCAAAGGAAUUGACGGGGGCCCGGCACAAGCGGUGGAGUAUGCGGUUUAAUUCGAGGCAACGCGAAGAACCUUACCCGGGCUUGACAUCACCGAAAGGAUCCAUGCUUGCUGGAAACAGCAAGAUUAGGAAGACAGGUGUUGCAUGGCUGUCGU
rnacentral:rRNA from 1 species